rnacentral:rRNA from 1 species
GCAAGUCGAACGAUGAAGCCUAGCUCGCUAGGUGGAUUAGUGGCGCACGGGUGAGUAAUAUAUAGAUAAUGUGCCUCUUAGUCUGGGAUAGCCAUUGGAAACGAUGAUUAAUACUAGAUACUCCUUCUUAUUCUAAUGUAAGUUGGGAAAGUUUUCCGCUAAGAGAUCAGUCUAUAUCCCAUCAGCUUGUUGGUAGUGUAAGAGACUACCAAGGCUAUGACGGGUAGCGGGUUUGAGAGGAUGAUC